CCUUUUGUAACCCACAUGUCAUCUCCUCCGAUCCAUCUUCCUCUCUUCUACGUUCUUCCAUUUUCUACGAAAUCAAUCAUCGAUCAAAAGUGGUUCAAUCGAUGAACAAAACUAUGAAAUUGGAUGUGAAUCGAUGGAUUAAUAAAAGAGAAAGAAAAAAAGAGGGUCUUUUCUCUUUCUUCUGCGAGAGAGAGAGAGAGAGAGAGAGGAACAGAGCUCUGAUAAUGGCGAACUUGGGCUUAACAGAGCUCUAACAGUCGACUCCUCUCCUCCAAUCGAGGAGGAAGAACCCAAAACGCAGAGAUUCGACCCAGGCACCCUUCCUCCGUUACGUCGUGAGAGAUGUGCGAUCGUGUUUGCGUUGGCUGCUGGAGCUGCUUACCUCAACAAUUGGCUUGUUUGGCCUCUCUAUUGGUUUGCUCAAGGAACCAUGUUCUGGGCUCUCUUCGUUCUUGGCCUCUAUUCUUGUCCCUUACCAUGGCUGGAGAAUUAGCCACAUAACUCACCACCAGAACCAUGGACAUGUUGAGAACGACUAAUCUUGGCAUCCUAUGUCUGAGAAAAUCUACAAGAGUUUAGACAAACCCACUCGGUUCUUUAGAUUUACACUGCCUCUUGUGAUGCUUGCUUAUCCUUUCUACUUGGUCAAGACAUAGUCAAAGAAUGGAGCAUUGGGAGUUUUCUUGUGUCACGGAGCGGAGGAAGUCUUGUAGUUUUCAGUCACUUUUGAUCACACAUAUACUCUUUCGUUCUCAACCAACCAAGAUCAUCUUGUGUAGACAUGUUUUUCAUAAAAUGUUAAAUUUUUUUUUAAGAACUCUUAAUUAAGAGACUUGUAUUGGAGAUGGUAAAUAUUAAAAUCUCUUAGCUA